rnacentral:rRNA from 1 species
UACAGAGGUGGCAAGCGUUGUUCGGAAUUACUGGGCGUAAAGCGUGCGCAGGCGGUUUGCUAAGACAGGUGUGAAAUCCCCGGGCUUAACCUGGGAACUGCGCUUGUAACUGGCAAGCUUGAGUGUGGCAGGGGGGGGUGGAAUUCCACGUGUAGCAGUGAAAUGCGUAGAGAUGUGGAGGAACACCGAUGGCGAAGGCAGCCCCCUGGGCUAACACUGACGCUCAUGCACGAAAGCGUGGGGAGCAAACAGG